UAUUAAAAAUUUCAUAUAUUUUUACUGUUUAAAACUGACAUAAUUAAACAAUAACACAUGUCAUGCCAUGCGUAUCGUAUAUUGACAUACAAUGAUCAACUUUUAGCGGUAAAAAUGGAUCAAAAUUUUAACU
rnacentral:pre_miRNA from 1 species